rnacentral:rRNA from 1 species
UACGUAGGGGGCAAGCGUUGUCCGGAAUCAUUGGGCGUAAAGAGCGUGUAGGCGGCCCGGUAAGUCCGCUGUGAAAGUCGGGGGCUCAACCCUCGAAUGCCGGUGGAUACUGUCGGGCUAGAGUGCGGAAGAGGCGAGUGGAAUUCCUGGUGUAGCGGUGAAAUGCGCAGAUAUCAGGAGGAACACCGGUGGCGAAGGCGGGUCUCUGGGGCCGAUACUGACGCUGAGGUGCGAAAGCGUGGGGGAGCAAACAGG